rnacentral:rRNA from 1 species
AGAGUUUGAUCAUGGCUCAGAACGAACGCUGGCGGCGUGCUUAACACAUGCAAAGUCGAAACGCGAAAAGUUUUCUUCGGGAAGACGAGUAGAGUGGCGCACGGGUGAGUAACGCGUAAGUAAUCUACCCCGGCAUCUGGAAUAACUCACCGAAAGGUGUGCUAAUGCCGGAUACGUUGGUAACAAGAAAGGUGGCCUCUGCAUAUGCUACCGUGCUGGGAUGAGCUUGCGUACCAUUAGCUAGUUGGUAGGGUAAAGGCCUACCAAGGCGACGAUGGUUAGCKGGUCUGAGAGGAUGAUCAGCCACACUGGAACUGGAACACRGUCCAGACUCCUACGGGAGGCAGCAGUGAGGAAUUUUGCGCAAUAGGGGAAACCCUGACGCAGCAACGCCGCGUGAGUGAAGAAGGCCUUCGGGUCGUAAAGCUCUGUCAAGUGGGAAAAAACGCAGUCGGUGAAUAGCCGGGCUGAAUUGAUGGUACCACUAGAGGAAGCACCGGCUAACUCCGUGCCAGCCGCCGCGGUAAUA